rnacentral:rRNA from 1 species
UACGUAGGGCGCAAGCGUUGUCCGGAAUUAUUGGGCGUAAAGAGCUCGUAGGCGGUUUGUCGCGUCUGCUGUGAAAUCCCUCGGCUCAACCAAGGAAGUGCAUCCAAAACUGCUGAGCUUGAGUACUUAAGAGGAUCGCGGAAUUCCCGGUGUAGAGGUGAAAUUCGUAGAUAUCGGGAGGAACACCAGUGGCGAAGGCGGCGAUCUGGGAAGAUACUGACGCUGAGGUGCGAAAGCGUGGGGAGCAAACAGG